AUUGAACGCUGGCGGCAGGCCUAACACAUGCAAGUCGAGCGGAUGAAGGGAGCUUGCUCCUGGAUUCAGCGGCGGACGGGUGAGUAAUGCCUAGGAAUCUGCCUGGUAGUGGGGGAUAACGUCCGGAAACGGGCGCUAAUACCGCAUACGUCCUGAGGGAGAAAGUGGGGGAUCUUCGGACCUCACGCUAUCAGAUGAGCCUAGGUCGGAUUAGCUAGUUGGUGGGGUAAAGGCCUACCAAGGCGACGAUCCGUAACUGGUCUGAGAGGAUGAUCAGUCACACUGGAACUGAGACACGGUCCAGACUCCUACGGGAGGCAGCAGUGGGGAAUAUUGGACAAUGGGCGAAAGCCUGAUCCAGCCAUGCCGCGUGUGUGAAGAAGGUCUUCGGAUUGUAAAGCACUUUAAGUUGGGAGGAAGGGCAGUAAGUCAACACCUUGCUGUUUUGACGUUACCAACAGAAUAAGCACCGGCUAACUUCGUG
rnacentral:rRNA from 1 species